AUUGAACGCUGGCGGCAUGCCUUACACAUGCAAGUCGAACGGUAACAGGUCUUCGGAUGCUGACGAGUGGCGAACGGGUGAGUAAUACAUCGGAACGUGCCUAGUAGUGGGGGAUAACUACUCGAAAGAGUGGCUAAUACCGCAUGAGAUCUACGGAUGAAAGCAGGGGAUCGCAAGACCUUGUGCUACUAGAGCGGCCGAUGGCAGAUUAGGUAGUUGGUGGGAUAAAAGCUUACCAAGCCGACGAUCUGUAGCUGGUCUGAGAGGACGAUCAGCCACACUGGGACUGAGACACGGCCCAGACGCCUACGGGAGGAAGCAGUGGGGAAUUUUGGACAAUGGGCGAAAGCCUGAUCCAGCAAUGCCGCGUGCAGGAUGAAGGCCUUCGGGUUGUAAACUGCUUUUGUACGGAACGAAAAGCCCCGGGUUAAUACCCUGGGGUCAUGACGGUACCGUAAGAAUAAGCACCGGCUAACUACGUGCCAGCCGCCGCAGUAA
rnacentral:rRNA from 1 species